CGAAGGAUGCAAGCGUUAUCCGGAUUCAUUGGGUUUAAAGGGAGCGUAGGUGGCCUUAUAAGUCAGCGGUGAAAUCUCUCAGCUUAACUGAGAAAUUGCCAUUGAUACUGUAGGGCUUGAGUACAGAUGCCGUUGGCGGAAUAUGACAUGUAGUGGUGAAAUACAUAGAGAUGCCAUAGAACACCGAUUGCGAAGGCAGCUGACGAAACUGUAACUGACACUGAGGCUCGAAAGUGCGGGGAUCAAACAGGAUUAGAUACCCUGGUAGUCCGCACUGUAAACGAUGAUUACUCGCUGCUGGAGGGCAACCUUCAGUGGCUUAGCAAAGGCGAUAAGUAAUCCACCUGGGGAGUACGCCGGCAACGGUG
rnacentral:rRNA from 1 species